rnacentral:tRNA from 2 species
GCGAGGAUGGUGGAAUGGCAGACACGCAGGCUUGAGGGGCCUGUUGCAAAAUAUUGCAGUGAGGGUUCAAGUCCCUUUCCUCGCACCA